UACAGAGGUCCCAAGCGUUACUGAGAAUCACUGGGUUUAAAGGGUGCGUAGGUGGUCCGUUAAGUCUGUUGUGAAAUCCCCGGGCUCAACCUGGGAAUGGCAAUGGAUACUGGCGAGCUAGAGUGUGAUAGAGGAUGGUGGAAUUCCCGGUGUAGCGGUGAAAUGCGUAGAGAUCGGGAGGAACAUCAGUGGCGAAGGCGGCCAUCUGGAUCAACACUGACGCUGAAGCACGAAAGCGUGGGGAGCAAACAGG
rnacentral:rRNA from 1 species